rnacentral:lncRNA from 1 species
CUCCUGACCCAGUCAGUGGUGUAUACAUACAGUCGGCGUCGCGUCACAGUCGCGUCACAGUUGGGGGCGGGGCAUUUCGAGGGGGAAAACAAUCCUUUCCCCCUCACCCGGAGCACUGUAAGAGCGCGGAUUUCAAAUCUUUAUAAACGAACAUGUCAUACAUUGAAUCACUGCAGCCCAUUGACAGGGAUAGAUACCUUAAAAAGAUCACUUUAAUAGGAUCGGAUUCUUGUCCGUAUUUUAUUAAAGAGUGGACGAAUGAUCCGACUGAAUGGCCUGAAGUUUCAUUCCCUGAUAUCUUCUGCUACCUGGUUGAAUCACCCGGUAAGAGGCAAAAUCACGUUAACUGAUGAAUUAAACCUAACAUAAUUUCUAUGUCUGACAUGGAAAUUAUCACGUUUGAAUUUGUUCACCACACAAUGGUUGUUAUUACACAAUAGCCAUCAUGAGCUGCAUACAGUUACGGUUAAUACGGUUACGACUCGGUUUAUCACGCAGGGAUUUACACACACAACAGCCUUAAGAACUACCGGUCCUUGGAGGCACACAACUUUUUUUCAAGUGGCUUUGUUGGAGUUGUGCUUCAUCAUAAGCUACCUUCCUCGGAUACCUACCUGUUCCGAAGUGAUGUUAAGCCAUCCUGGAGGGUGACAGAGAAGCCGCACCAGACGUGGGUCGCAGUAAAGGGAGAGGGUACUGUCAUCGCUGCCCACUGCAACUGCAUGGCAGGUCUUGGUGAAAGUUGUUCCCAUGUGGCUGCUGUUCUUUUUAAAUUAGAGGCGUGUGUCCGCAUGGGGAUCAACAAAGUGCCAUGCACAAGCAAAGCCUGUGAGUGGAACAAGACCUGUGUUAAAAAGAUUGAGCCUGCCCUUGUUGCAGAGACAUCUUUUUACACAGAGGACGAGGCGUCAAAAAAAAGGAAAAGGAAAGCCCCUAUCCCAAAAGCCUCUUUAUCACAGCAGAAGCAGUUCCUCACUAUGCUGGCUGACAGAUCACCUGACACUGUGGUAUUAAAUAGUUUCAAGGAUUUUUCCAGGCCUUUUAAGAAGCCAUGGUGUUUCAGCCAGCAUGAGGUGACUGAGGAGGAGAUUGAAAAUGUGGAGAGAGCAACCAUCCAUCAGGCAUCCUGUGUGCAAUGGCAUCAAGAGCGGGUUGGUCGCAUUACAGGCUCCAUAGCCCACCGUGUCUUAACAGCUACAGAACAUCCUAGCAAGUCACUGAUCAACACCAUAUGUGAACAAAGGCACAGGCCAAUAAUGAAGCCCUGGAUUCAGUGGGGGAGACACCAUGAGCAAGAUGCCAUUGACACGUACCAAUAUACUCUUGGAGCUGGGAGUCCCACAGCCAACCUGUCCUCCACCAUUUACAUCUGUGCCCCAGUAGAUGCACCACAUCAGAACCUGGUCAUCAGAAAGGCUGGCUUCCGCAUCUGCCAAACUAUGCCAUACCUGGGGGUUUCAUGCGACGGCUAUGUUUCCUGUGACUGCUGUGGUGAGGGUGUUAUAGAGGCUAAGUGUCCUUACAGGUGGGGGCAAGACACCUCUACUGGGUACCAACAGUGGCUUGAGGACAAAAGAGGACAUCUGGAAAGCCUGACAAGCUUAAAGAGGAGCCACGCAUAUUUCACUCAGGUAUU